rnacentral:rRNA from 1 species
CUUAAGCAUAUCAAUAAGCGGAGGAAAAGAAACCAACAGGGAUUGCCCUAGUAACGGCGAGUGAAGCGGCAACAGCUCAAAUUUGAAAUCUGGCGCAAGCCCGAGUUGUAAUUUGUAGAGGAUGCUUCUGGGUAGCGACCGAUCUAAGUUCCUUGGAACAGGACGUCAUAGAGGGUGAGAAUCCCGUAUGUGACCGGCCCGCACCCUUUACGUAGCUCCUUCGACGAGUCGAGUUGUUUGGGAAUGCAGCUCUAAAUGGGAGGUAAAUUUCUUCUAAAGCUAAAUACCGGCCAGAGACCGAUAGCGCACAAGUAGAGUGAUCGAAAGAUGAAAAGUACUUUGGAAAGAGAGUUAAAAAGCACGUGAAAUUGUUGAAAGGGAAGCGCCUGCAACCAGACUUCGCGGCAGUGUUCCGCCGGUCUUCUGACCGGUUCAUUCUCUGUCGCGAGGCCAUCAUCGUCUGGGCCCGCCGGAUAAGACCUGAGGAAUGUGGCUCCCCCUCGGGGGAGUGUUAUAGCCUCUGGUGAUGCGGCGUGGCUCGGGCGAGGUCCGCGCUUCGGCAAGGAUGAUGGCGUAAUGGUUGUCGGCGGCCCGUCUUGAAACACGGACCAAGGAGUCUAACAUCUAUGCGAGUGUUCGGGUGUCAAACCCCUACGCGUAAUGAAAGUGAACGGAGGUGGGAACCGUAAGGUGCACCAUCGACCGAUCCUGAUGUCCUCGGAUGGAUUUGAGUAAGAGCAUAGCUGUUGGGACCCGAAAGAUGGUGAACUAUGCCUGAAUAGGGUGAAGCCAGAGGAAACUCUGGUGGAGGCUCGCAGCGGUUCUGACGUGCAAAUCGAUCGUCAAAUUUGGGUAUAGGGGCGAAAGACUA